rnacentral:lncRNA from 1 species
AGCAGCGGACACACGGAUCGCGAGCAGCCGGGAGCUUGGGUCCCGCAGAAUGCUCGUGCCAAACGCUUCUCUCGACUAGUUACCAAAUGAGAAAAGGAACAGAGACGCACAACGAGAACGGCGAUUAAAAUCCAGUUUUUAGGCACCCGUGGUGUCCCAGCUGGUUCAGACUCUUCUUAUUCGCUGUCACCCAGCUCUUUCUCCUGGCAAAGGGUUACCCAGGAACCAGAGAGCCCCGCCAGCAGCUCCUUCUCUUCUGCUCUGCCUGAUCGCUCCAAUCUCCGCUGCCUCUGACACACUGCGCGCCCGGCUAUCCACUCACUGAACGCCGAGGAGGCCUGGCUGAGAUAGCUCCGGGAGGGAGGAGAACGCAUUAAACAGAUAGAUUUUUUGGGUAAGGGAGGAAAAACUUUGAUGUUGGAACCCCACACACAGGACUGAGAAAAACCAAAACAAGUUGCAGGUGCGGCAGUGGGGAGGUCGCUUUCACCAGCUCUGAGAUCAAUCACUCUCCCACCAAAUCCUGAGAGAGGAAGCUUCCUGCUCCUUGAGCUAUCCCCGAGCGCACCUCUUAAUCUCUCUGGUCUUCGAGUCCACCGGAAAAGCACAGGGCAUGAAAAGCCCAGUUGGUUCUCUCCUAGGGUGCAAACUGCCAAAUGCUCCUCCCGCUGGAGAGGUUGGCGGGGACUCAGUGCAAAAGGGACAGAGAUAAACGCAGAUCCAGGAAGAGCGAGGGGAAACGGAGCUGAGGCUGCAAGAACUGAGAAGCGAUUCCCUUCGGGCAAAGUGACUGCUACCAAGUCUGUUCCUUCCUGCGCAGGGACAGACACAUUUAAGGGCCUGAAGGACCGUUCGCCUGGACACUGAGUCUACAGGGUUCCUUCUAGAGCUUCGGUUUUCUUCCUCAGACAUUGGCCCUGAGCUGGGAAGAUCUGACCAAACUUUACAAGAGACAUUGCUGUAAAUGCGUUGGAAACUUUGGAAGCUGGCAACAGCGACAGCAUUUUUGCUCUUUGCCGUGAAUAUAUCCAGAAAGAUAGAAGCUAGUGUUGUGGAGGGGAGCAGAACAUCGAAGGGCUUUAGAAAAGCAGGAGUAAUUAAUAUACACCAACCAGUUUUUUUUCUAAAAAUAAACAGGUUUCCCGUAAAACUUCCUUAGAAGUCAGGUUAAUUUAUGCUGACGCCUACACCCUCUAUGCCCAUUUGGUUCAAUGUCUUCCAAGUUUACUGCUUCCCCUCAAAGCUUUUGCUGGGGGAAGGGGGAAGGGGGCUUCAUCACAAAAACAGAGAAUGCCUGUGCCCACCAGUUUCCUGGAACCGGGAUAGUCCCUACUCACGCCCCAU